rnacentral:rRNA from 1 species
CCUACGGGAGGCAGCAGUCGGGAAUUUUGGGCAAUGGGCGAAAGCCUGACCCAGCAACGCCGCGUGAAGGAUGAAGUAUUUCGGUAUGUAAACUUCGUAAAAAUGGGAAGAAUAAAUGACGGUACCAUUUGUAAGGUCCGGCUAACUACGUGCCAGCAGCCGCGGUAAUACGUAGGGACCAAGCGUUGUUCGGAUUUACUGGGCGUAAAGGGCGCGUAGGCGGCUUGACAAGUCACUUGUGAAAUCUCCGGGCUUAACUCGGAACGGUCAAGUGAUACUGUUGUGCUAGAGUAUAGAAGGGGCAAUCGGAAUUCUCGGUGUAGCGGUGAAAUGCGUAGAUAUCGAGAGGAACACCAGAGGCGAAGGCGGAUUGCUAGGCUAAUACUGACGCUGAGGCGCGAAAGCUAGGGUAGCAAACGGGAUUAGAUACCCCGGUAGUCCUAGCCCUAAACGAUGAAUACUUGGUGUCUGGAGUUUAAUUCUCUGGGUGCCGUCGCUAACGUUUUAAGUAUUCCGCCUGGGGAGUACGCACGCAAGUGUGAAACUCAAAGGAAUUGACGG